GACGAACGCUGGCGGCGUGCUUAACACAUGCAAGUCGAGCGGUAAGGCCUUUCGGGGUACACGAGCGGCGAACGGGUGAGUAACACGUGGGUGAUCUGCCCUGCACUUCGGGAUAAGCCUGGGAAACUGGGUCUAAUACCGGAUAUGACCUCCUAUCGCAUGGUGGGUGGUGGAAAGAUUUAUCGGUGCAGGAUGGGCCCGCGGCCUAUCAGCUUGUUGGUGGGGUAAUGGCCUACCAAGGCGACGACGGGUAGCCGACCUGAGAGGGUGACCGGCCACACUGGGACUGAGACACGGCCCAGACUCCUACGGGAGGCAGCAGUGGGGAAUAUUGCACAAUGGGCGAAAGCCUGAUGCAGCGACGCCGCGUGAGGGAUGACGGCCUUCGGGUUGUAAACCUCUUUCAGCAGGGACGAAGCGCAGGUGACGGUACCUGCAGAAGAAGCACCGGCUAACUACGUG
rnacentral:rRNA from 1 species